CUCUCCGUAGCUCAGGGGACAGAGCGCCGGCUUCCGAAGCCGGGCGCCGCAGGUUCGAAUCCUGCCGGAGAGA
rnacentral:tRNA from 1 species